ACUUGCAUGAUUCACAUCUCAAUAUUGUCUGUCUUUCAUAUCAAGUACAUCUUAUGCAUGCGCGUGCUCAUGUAGACACUAGGUGGUGCUCAAGCACCUGCCCUUCUGGCCUUUGACUAGAUAAGUGCCCUUUUAGCGAGACAUUUUUUUCAUUUUCUUUUUCUGAUUUUACAUUUUAGUUUUUAAAUUUGGCCCAUGAUAUCAAUUUUCAAUUAAAAGCGUGUUGUAAUGCCUGACAAUUGCAUUUAAGUUCUAAUUCUGCCCCUCCUUCUUCGACUUGUCACAGCCACUGGUUGCAGCAUGCAUAUCGAGCGCCUUGCAGAGCAGCGUGAUCCACGUCUCCUGUCAUGCCUUCACUGCUGACAGCCAGGGAUAGUGGUCAGGUGAAGCCAUUACUGGAUACUGAGCCAUGAGGAAAGCAAAAGAACUGCCAAAGGACCUGUGAGAAAAGAAUGGGUGGGAGAAGUUUGCGGGCCAUCCACCACAUCCUCCUGUUAUUCAGAAGGGUCGGGGACAACCGGCACCAGAGAAGUAAAAGUUAAUAAACAGAGAAUAUGAGUAUACAGUAUCUUUAUUGUGAUGUACAGUAUUUCAUGGUAAACAUAAAGUCUGUCAAAGAUGUUAAAAAUGUGUGUGUGUGUGUGUGUGUGUGUGUGUGAAACCUAAACAAUUAAGUGUGACUAUACAACAGAUAUGCUAUGAUAUAGAAUACAACAUGAGUGCAAAAAGGGGGAAACAAUUUUACACACCGGAUGAGAA